rnacentral:rRNA from 1 species
UCUUUCUUUGCUGGCGACCGGCGCACGGGUGAGUAACACGUAUCCAACCUGCCCUUUACUCGGGGAUAGCCUUUCGAAAGAAAGAUUAAUACCCGAUAGUAUAAUGAUUCCGCAUGGUUUCAUUAUUAAAGGAUUCCGGUAAAGGAUGGGGAUGCGUUCCAUUAGGUUGUUGGUGAGGUAACGGCUCACCAAGCCUUCGAUGGAUAGGGGUUCUGAGAGGAAGGUCCCCCACAUUGGAACUGAGACACGGUCCGA